GACAAUCCUCAUGCCUCGUACCAAUCCGCCGCGGAUCGAAUUUCAUUAAAAUACAACUAAACAUCAAUUAAUUCCAUAUCAUACUCAAUUUACCUAACAAGAAUCCAUCACAUACAACAUAAUACAUCAAAAAUUAACAAGAAUUAUAUAUAUAUAUGGAACCCAUUAAGUGACGGUUACCUUUGAAAUCCAUCUCCACCGUUAGAUCUUGCUGAAACUAAAUCCAGGCCGUUUAAACUCCAUUUUUUAACCGCUAUCUCGGUAGUUAUGAGCAGUUUUUUUGCUGGGAGUUACCUCCGCAAAUUUCGGCCCCAUGUUCUCCACAUAUGGCUCCUACAAAACUGGAUUCGGCGGUUCAGAGAAGUUACCUGGUAGUUUCCGGAGGUGGUUUGGUUCCGUACAUUUCUGCCCCAUGAUUUGGUGGUUUUGCUCCAUUAUUUCUGCC
rnacentral:lncRNA from 1 species